rnacentral:rRNA from 1 species
AUUGAACGCUGGCGACAGGCUUAACACAUGCAAGUCGAGCGGGGGAAGGUAGCUUGCUACUGGACCUAGCGGCGGACGGGUGAGUAAUGCUUAGGAAUCUGCCUAUUAGUGGGGGACAACAUCUCGAAAGGGAUGCUAAUACCGCAUACGUCCUACGGGAGAAAGCAGGGGAUCUUCGGACCUUGCGCUAAUAGAUGAGCCUAAGUCGGAUUAGCUAGUUGGUGGGGUAAAGGCCUACCUAGGCGACGAUCUGUAGCGGGGCUGAGAGGAUGAUCCGCCACACUGGGACUGAGACACGGCCCAGACUCCUACGGGAGGCAGCAGUGGGGAAUAUUGGACAAUGGGGGGAACCCUGAUCCAGCCAUGCCGCGUGUGUGAAGAAGGCCUUAUGGUUGUAAAGCACUUUAAGCGAGGAGGAGGCUACUCUAGUUAAUACCUAGGGAUAGUGGACGUUACUCGCAGAAUAAGCACCGGCUAACUCUGUGCCAGCCGCCGCAGUAA